UUAAUUUAGAAAAGUCUAAAGAAAUCAUAAAAGCGAUAAAGAUCGUUUUGGGCUUAUAGAAACGUUCGGGUUUAAUUGGGCCCAUUGGGCCUAAACCCAUUGGGCUUUUAUUCAAGCAUUGGAUGACUUGAAAUAAAUGAAAGCCCAAAGCCCAAACAACACUAAGAGGGCCGGCCAUAUUAAGUGGGGAAGGAGAGAAAAUUAGUCAAGUGUUGACUAGGUUUCUUUUGUCUAUAUAAGCAACUUUAUAGAGAUAAAGUUCAUUAGGGUUUUUGUGUGUUAAAACAACAAAGAGGCAAAAGAAAAAGAGCUCUCUAAACUACACAAAGGCCGGCCACCAAAGGGGGUUUUUACUAACCUCUCUUACACCCUUUUGGUUAUUCCUUCAUCCUUCUCACUACACUAGUGGGUGAGGAUCUUUAGAGGUUUCCUACUUUGGGAACUUGAAGAGAACCUAGGAGCACUCAUUGUAACAAAGUGGAGGAGGCAAGGAGGGAAGCAAGGCUCAAGGAUUUCAAGGAGCAAAGGGCUUGGAGGUGGUCCAUCCUUGGUCUCAAGUCU
rnacentral:lncRNA from 1 species